rnacentral:rRNA from 1 species
UACGGAGGGUGCAAGCGUUAUCCGGAAUCACUGGGCGUAAAGGGCGCGUAGGUGGUCUGUCGCGUCUGCUGUGAAAGACCGGGGCUUAACUUCGGUUUUGCAGUGGAUACGGGCAUGCUUGAGGUAGGUAGGGGAGACUGGAAUUCCUGGUGUAGCGGUGAAAUGCGCAGAUAUCAGGAGGAACACCGGUGGCGAAGGCGGGUCUCUGGGCCACUACUGACGCUGAGAAGCGAAAGCAUGGGGAGCGAACAGGAUUAGAUACCCCGGUAGU